rnacentral:rRNA from 1 species
AUUGAACGCUGGCGGCAGGCCUAACACAUGCAAGUCGAACGGUAGCACAGAGAGCUUGCUCUCGGGUGACGAGUGGCGGACGGGUGAGUAAUGUCUGGGAAACUGCCUGAUGGAGGGGGAUAACUACUGGAAACGGUAGCUAAUACCGCAUAACGUCGCAAGACCAAAGAGGGGGACCUUCGGGCCUCUUGCCAUAAGAUGUGCCCAGAUGGGAUUAGCUAGUAGGUGGGGUAACGGCUCACCUAGGCGACGAUCCCUAGCUGGUCUGAGAGGAUGACCAGCCACACUGGAACUGAGACACGGUCCAGACCCCUACGGGAGGCAGCAGUGGGGAAUAUUGCACAAUGGGCGCAAGCCUGAUGCAGCCAUGCCGCGUGUAUGAAGAAGGCCUUCGGGUUGUAAAGUACUUUCAGCGGGGAGGAAGGGAGUAAGGUUAAUAACCUUAUUCAUUGACGUUACCCGCAGAAGAAGCACCGGCUAACUCCGUGCCAGCCGCCGCCGUAAAAC